GUCAACAAAAAGACUCACACGCUGACCCACUCUCCGAAACCGCGUCAAAUUUAAUACAGUUGUAAACCGCCUCAUCAUAACCGACAUACUUAGCGAUACUAUAAAUAAUCUCCUCCUUCCUCAAUCCUCACUUUUUUUAUGCCCUAAUUUUAUAGGUACGCCUUCUUUCUGUCGUAAUUAAUUUCAUCUCGAUUUCUGAAUUUCCGAUUUGCGUUCUUGCAUCGCUCCUUCAAUUUACGUUUUCGAUUGAUGGUUAUAUUUUAUUCUCGCAUGAUUUGUGGUUGGAAAAUCGGCAAGUUUUCUCAAGUAGUUUCAAGUGAAUUUUGUUUUUCAUGGUUCGAGAUUCUGCGGAUUUCUCUUCGAUUUGCUGAUGAUCAAGUUUCUUUUUCCUCUUUUUGGAGAUUUUGGCGUAUGAAAUUUUGCGGAUUUCUCUUCUUUUUGCUGAUGAUCAAUUUUUUUUUCCUCUUUUUGGAGAGUUUGGCGUAUGUUCGUAAUUCGUUUUAUGAUGUUGCAGCAAUUUGAUAAUGUCGUCGAUUUAUCUUCUGUUCUACGCGAUUCUGGAAAAUCAUAAAUUCGAUUAAGAAUGGUAGUUGUUUUUGUUUGCCACGGGAAAUCAUUAUAACACAAUACGACUCUUGGAUAGUAACAAAUCAUUAUUUGGAUAAUUGCGAUCGAUAAUGGUGAUUUGUUACUAUUUGAUACUCAUAUCGUGUUACGGUGUUAGGUUGUUAUUUUUCUAUUAGCGCUCGUAUUUAUUAAACUAAGCUGUUUUAGGUUGUGCAGUGUUGGAUAUAUAUUUACUGUUGCAGAUUGAUUUUGAUCUGGUAUCGUAUCUUGUUAACGAGGCUUUGGUUCUGCUACUUUUGCAUAGUCCAUGUUUCAUGUCUGCUAAUUUUUCUCAAAGGUAGUUAAUGUUUUGGAAUUAGUGAUUGAUGUUUAUAUGUGGUAUUGGUUCUGACUUCUGAAUAGCUAUGAGCACUUUGGCAGUUGUUUCUUAUUGCUGGAGUUCUACCCUACCAAUAAGGAUAUAUCUUUUCCCUUGAGUUGUUGCAUCGUUUUUGUUUUUUCUAAUAAUCUAGAAUCACUCGUCGCUCUCUUUUAACUUCCUGUAGUACGUGUCCUGUCAUCCUAUUGUAUUGAUGAUAUUUUUGUUCCGUUUGGUUUGUGUUUGGUGAGCAAGAGCAUUGGGGACUUGGAUCUGCUGGACUAUUUAUGUAAGAUUUCUUGGAUCAUUUGAAUCACAAUUACUUGCUUUCUUGUAUGCCCAAUAUUGAUGUCCAUUAUGUUAUUCUUGUCUUGCUGGAUUGAAGUUUCGUAGUAAGAAAUGUAUGUCCGUCUCAUGGUACCUAUUGUCACUUGAAGGGAGUUCUUACCUCUACGCGAGAUUGAGUUUCUCUUUUUGUUUCAGUUUCCUCAAUCAGGUUUAAUUGUUUGGUAUGCUUGUAGUUUCUCAUAUGUUUUGGUCAACGAUGGCCUUGGUGCUGUCACAGAACCAUGACUUGGUCUUGAAGCAUAUUAUAGAGGUGGACUUGAAGUGUUAACAAUCGACUAUGCUCUUGCAGAAUAUGGUAGUUAGAAGUGAUGUGUGGUACAAGCUGUAAAUGUUUCACUCACCGCCUGCGUUCAUGUUUCAAGGACUGUUGUGUGAGUUGUGACUGGAUUCUAUUUAAUGAGCUGAUCAUUUAUUAUUUAGAUUACUUGUUGGGUUUUUUGUCUUGCAUAGCUUAUGAUAUUUGUCCAUUUGAUAAGGGGUCAAGUUGAUCUUAUGAUUACAGAUCUUUUGCUUGGAUUUCACUUGGCAUAUCUAGUGGUCUUGACUCUUGAGUUGAUACUACGGGGUCGUUGGGUUUAAUAUAUGAAAUGGAAAGGGAAUGGAUACAAAUAGAGGAGGAGAAUGGUAACAAAAAUGGUUAUCUUUAUUGAGUGUUUGGUUCAAGCCAAGUAAUGAAAAUGAAUUGUAACCAUUACCUUCAAGUAAUGAAUUUUAUUACUUGAGGGGGAGGGGAAGGUAACAUAUUGGGGGAAUCCAUUACUACCAAGUAAUGGUAAUGGAUUGAUGUGAGGUUGAACCAAACAAAAAGAAAGAGAAUCGGUAAUUGAUUCCGUUUCUUGAAACUCAAAAAUAAUGAACCAAACUACUCCUACGUGUGGGAUCUAACGGUUUUGAUUUUACAGGUCUAAGAGUUGUGAUUUAAAGGUUUUUUUUUAAUUCUGUUACUGUUUGCCCUGGCCAAAUAUACUUGCUCACCUUGACUCUCGAGUUGAUACUACGUGUGGGAUCUUACCGCUUUUGAUUUUACAGGUCUAAGAGUUAUGAUUUAAAGGUUUUUUUUUUAUCCUGUUACUGUUUGCCCUGGCCAAAUAUACUUGCUCGCCUCUAGAUGUAUGGAUUCAUCCUUUGACUUCAGAUAUGAUGGGAAAUCUAUAAGUAAAUCAUUUUUUUUGGGGCUUGUAUUGGACAAAGCUGGAUGUCUCAAAAUUUUGAAUCUUGGACUUAAUUCAUCCUUGUGCGAAAUGUUAUCUAGUCAUAUACUCAUGCUGUGGGUCCCAUAGUUUGUAUGUGUACUAUUGUCUACUAAUAUUUCUUUUAGUUUUGAACAUCUACGGCGUGAGAUGUUUUAUUUAUGGGUUUGGACUGUUUGGCAGCAGUAUGCACUUUCUUUCUCACCUACAAAAUUCAGGUGUUGGACUUUGCAACAUGGAAUUUACAUGCAAGCUGGAAAUCAGAAUAUUCGUAUCGGUACUGUCCUAGGCUGACAGAUGUGGACUCUGCUAUACUUGGCAAUCUGGCAUGACGGGUAUUGAUUCUUGAGCUUUACGAAUUUGCUUGGUCUUAGUGUUGAUGUAUCAUAUUUAGUUGAGGAGAAAUGGGGUACAUUUGUUUGGAACACGUGCUCGGAAUCUUAUUCUUGUGUUCCUUCUGGAAAUGGUUGUCAACUAGUAAAUUAUAUGAUUCCAGAUUGUAGGCUUCUUGAUUUUACUCGGCAGGGAAUUUUUUUUUUCUUAUGUCGAGGUGCAUGCUUCCUUGAUUUUCGUGAAAAUUCUAAUUGUUUGAAGACUAUAUUGGGGUGGUUUUUGGCCCGUGCUUCCGUAGUGUGUAUGCUUUUUGUUGGACUUACGUCCUCUUUAUCUUGCAAAAAAGAACAUAAUUGCUCCAGCAUUUAUAUUUAUGCAGCUUAUGGAUGUAUAUAUAUCUCUCUGACAUUGUGAUAGUGUGGGUGGGCAAAUGAAUUUUUUUUUCAUUUUAUUUGCCUUUCGCUUUCCGUAAGGUAUGUCAUAUGCUUUAAAUUAUGUUGUUGGCUUAUACCAGCAUUUUUUUCAGGGUUCAUGUGUGUCCGUCUAAGUGCAUUUUAAGGUCUUCAGAUUUUUUUAAUCUGUCAGACUCAUAUUUUUCUGUUACAGAUCGAUGUUGAUUUGGUAGAGAAUUUUGUUGACUAGUCUUCAGUUAUGCUACUUUUUGCACAGUCAACGUUUCAUGUCUGCUAAUUUGUCUCCAAGGUAGUCUAAUGUUCCGGAAUUCUUGUUUGAUGUUUAUAUGUGGUCUUGGUUCUGAAUAGUUAUGAACACUUUGGCAGUUGAUUCUUAAUGCUGAAGCCUGAAGGAGUGGCUGGCCUUCUACCCUACCAAUCAGGAUAUUUCUUUUUCCUUCUGUUGUUCUAGUAAUCUAGAAUCAUUUGUCGCUGUCUCUUUUAAUUUCCUAUGGUACGCGUCAUGUCAUCCUAUUGUAUUGAUAUUUAUUAUGUGUUCUGUUUGGUUUGUGUAUGGUGAGUCCAGAUGGUAGAAAUGAGAAAGUAGCAAGAGGGUCGGGGUCUUGGAUCUACUGGACUAUUUAUGUAAGAUUUCUAUGGUUUUUAAUUUAAAUGGACUUAGGAAGUUAGUGUAGUUAAAUACUAUUGAUUAUUUCGGUCACAAUUACAGGUUUGAUUUCUUGUAUGCACAAUAUUGAUUUCUGUUAUGAUAUUCUCGUCUUGCUGGAUGGAAGUUUCAUCUUAAGAAAUGUACGUCUGUUUCAUGGUACUUCCUUGUCACUUGAAGGGAGGUUACCCUUCUACGUGAGAUUGAGUUUCUCUAUUUGUUUCAGUUUCCUGCAAGACCAGGUUUAAUGGUUUGAUCCGCAUGUAGUUUCUCAUAUUUUUUGGUCAAUGACGGCCUGGUGCUGUCAGUGUCGUGACUUGAAGCAUAUUGCUGGACUUGAAGUGUUAACAAUAUGCAAUUCCUGCUCUUGCAAGUUGCAGCAUAUACUUGGUAAUUGCAGGGAUUUAUUCAGGUUUCUAUGAUUUUGUGACUAGGUUGUUUUUUAUGGGCCGACAAUGUCCAUAGACAGGUUCUCUUAAUUUGAAUUCUGCUGUCUGAAGUUGAGCUUGCUAUCUACCAUGUGCCUCAAUCAUGCCUCAGGUUUUGUGUGAGCUACUAGUUUGAGCCUUACUGCAAACUCUUGACAAGAUCAUAUGCUCUAGGUGACUUAAGAGUUUUGACUACCUCCAAAUACCCCAUGACUAUUGGAUUCCAUUUUUUAUCCAGUGUAUGCAAGUUGGACUUCUGUUGUCUUGUCUUGCAAAAAAGAAAAAAUGCUCUAGCAUUCAUAUUUAUGCAGUAUAUUGGAUGCAAUGUCUCUGACAUUGUGGUAUAGUGGGUGGGAAAUGAUUCUUUCCCUUUCUUUUCCCCUUAAUAUAUGUCAUAUGCUUUAAACUCUGUUGUUGACUUCUACCGGUGUUUUCAGGGUUCAUUUGUCAGUCUAAGUGCCUUGUAAGGUAUUAUGACGCCUUUUGAUGUUUUUCUCUCUGUUCAUUUCCGUUCUUUCAGACUCAUGCUUUUUUUAGUUUUUGUUGGACAUGAAAUUGCAUGUUGGAAAUUGUUAUCUUUCUGUGACGGGGGGUUCUCUCUAGUAGUAGAAAUGAUGACGUAGCAAGCAAAUGGUUGUGUGGGAUUUCCAGCUGCGGGAGUUCUUCUAUAAGUUCUGAAUGGCUUUAGAAAACUUAUGUGGAGUUUAGAAGUUAGUGUAAUCAAACACUAUUGUUCAGUUCCUUCCCAAUUACAGGCUUACAGCGUUACAGGAUCGACCUCUUGUAUGCUUAGCAUCGAUGUCUGUUAUGUUAUUCUAGCCUUGCUGGAUCGAGCUCACAUAUUAAAAAGGUGUACAUUUGUUUUAUAGUUGUUGGUUGCCCUCACUUGUAGGGAUGUUAUUUUUCUUUGGAAGAUUGGGUUUCUCAUUCUGUUUCAUUUCUCACAAGAGUUUUUCCAUUAAUUAUUCCAUAUUCAUUGUGAUGCUUGUCUUGGUGCUUUCAUAGCUUCAGAGGUAUAUGAAAUAGGUGCACUUGAAGCUUGAACAAGCUGCAUAGACCAUUACCUUAUAGUGGUGAAGUUGUGGGGAUUUGUGGUACGAGGUUUGGAGUCCUAGCCUCCUAGGUGUUUUAUAUUUUGCUACUUCAAACAAGAAUCCUUUCAGAUUGGUGAUUUAGUUUCUCAAUUUGUUCUAUUUCGUGGUUUCCAGUACUUUUGUGUGACCAGGUGGUUUAAGGACGAAUCGGUUAUUUAUAUAUGAAGUUCUUGUGUAGUGUAAUCAUGUACGAGAUCUGGACUGUUACAUACGGGUAAGCUAAGUCUUCUGGAUAAACUCUUUCCUUAUUUAAAGAGCAAUAUGUAUCUUUUGGCAUAAGUGUUCUCUAAGCUUGAAGUUUGUGUCACAACUUAAGUUUGCUAUCUAACAUCAUGACAUAUGUUGUUUGGGUCAUGCCUCAGGUUCAUGAUUAUCUUAUGGGAAUCUACUUUCAAUUGUCCCAUUAGGUGUGAGGUUGUGUUUUGAGGUUUUAGUGUUUUCUAUAUGUAUGCGCUGAAGUAAAUUGUUGGUUUACCUAUGUUUGGUAGCAAAGUGAAGCAUUUGUGAUUAAGUGUAAAUUGUCGUUUUUUUUUGGGGUGGUAGCAAAUGUGUUAUGUGGGAUCCCCUUGAAGUUGUUAAGUGAGAGUGGUGGCAGUUUUUAGCCACCUCAUCCUUUCUACUGUUCCAUUUGGAUAGCGAUUACAAAUUAUAAUACUUGUUCGUCUUUUAUUCCAUGUUAACGGUCUGUUCUUCGCUUCUGAUAUCCGAUUGAUUAUUCUGAAGUUUGCUAGUACAUUUAUAUGGUGCUAAUGGAUUCCUGCUUCAUGGUCCGUAAUUGGUCAGUAAUGUGGAAAUAUUUUCUUUGUGGUGUCAUUUUGGUGUUCGUACCUGAAGCAGAAGUACAAACUUGAAAUAUGCAUCCAUAACUAAUAUAGCUAUAUAUCGAAAGAAGCUGAGCAGAAGUAUUCUGUAGUCCACCAGGGUUGAAUCUCAGAAUCACCAUUAUCAUGUCAACAAAUGCAAGUAUACACAAUAUGAUAUAUCGGAAGAACCUGAGCAAGAGUAUUCUGUAAUCUACCAGGGUUGAAUCUCAGAAUCACCAUUAUCAUGUCAACAAAUGCAAGAAUACACAACAUGACACAUGAGACUCGUUAAACUAAAAACAAGGAAGAAUGUUUGCCCAAUUGAUUUUUCUUUCCUCUAGAUAUUAGUGAGCUAUUUCGCACUCUUUCAAGGGCGGCGCUUCUAGGCAAACCUCCUGGCUUUCUCUGCACCCCUACCUCCUUUAUCACUGAGCGGUCAUUUAGGGGCCUUAGCUGGUGAUGCAGGCUGUUCCCUCUUGACGAUGAAGCUUAUCCCCCAUCAUCUCACUGGUCGUUAUUUGGAGGUCAUAUCUAGUAUUACUCGACUUGGUACCGCUCUCGCGGCCCGCACCGAAACAGUGUUUACCCCUAGAUGCGCAGUCAACUGCUGCGCCUCAACGCAUUUCGAGGAGAACCAGCUAGCUCUAGAUAUGUGGUUUUUGAUCCUGGUUUCGUGAAAUGAUGAGAAAUAUUUAUGUUAAGCAUUUGUUGGGGGCUUGUAUUGGGCCUUUGGUUCUUGAUUCUUGUUGUUUUAGUGUUCGAAGUUUUGCUUUCUUUCGCUGAUUGAUAUUCUCUUGGCUACCACAGUUACUGCUUCUCCUUAUGAUGAAUGUGAAAAUAUAUGCCGUGAGAUUUUUUUUGGCGACAGGUUUGGGCCGUUCAGUCUUUCUUAUAGGGUUUUAUUGCAGUUCCUUAUGUUGGACAACGCUGAUGCCACCUUCUUUCUUUACAUUUUAAUUCUCAGGUGUUAUUGGAUUUUGCAUGGCUUGUAUGAAGCUCACAUGCAAGCUGAGAAGUGAGAAGUUAAAAUAUUAUUGAUUGUGAUUUUGUACAUACACAUCUUUUUGGCGAAUGUAUAUCUAUGGGAUGGGUCCUCAUAGUGCUUGAACUCGAAGGACUAGUUUAGCUGGGGCCUGGGUAUCUAGAUCUGACAUCAAUAGAGUUGGGGAUUAGAUGCUAGUUGGAACAAGAUUUCUUCCCCCUGUUUCCUCAGUAGAUGGCAUCUUCAUCUAGGAUAGUCUGUUGGUUUACAUCUUUCAGAUCUUUGAUUCGACUCAGCUACAUUCCUUUUAUUUCUAUGUUCGAGGUGCUUUUCUUAUAUGAUUUGAUUGAACAACUAAUUAUUUGGCCCAUUUUUUUGUUGCAUUUUCUCUGAUAUAGUUUAACUUUAGUUGGGGCGUUGGUGUGUUAGUCCUCUGCUACAAUCUCUGUUCAGUAGGGGUGUUAAAGUCAAGUAUCGCUCACUUUCUAUAGGACAUUAUGUAAGCAUAUGCAUUGUGAGAAUCCAUGUAUCUGGAUGAUUUUCCUCCUGGAAAAGCUGCUCGCUAUGGUGAUUGGAGUUCUUGUGGAGUGUAUGCUGGACACUUCAAAUGUCAUAUUGGUAGGUUGUGUUGGACUUGUACGGUUGCUGAUUUUGUGCUCAGUUUAUCGAUAUGGUCUUUGUAGUGUCAUCAACUAUUGGCUGCACGUCAUGGAUUUCGAGAGGUCUUGUGCUGAUUUAAGCUGUCUAUCAUUUCUUUUGGAGAUGAUAUGCUAGUAUAUCAUCAGCUCUUUGGAGAUCUGCUGUACUAAUAUGGAAAUCGAUUUUCUUUUUGAUAUUUCAGCUGAUUCUGGACCUUGUUUUGUACUUCAUGUUCAUCUCAGAUGAUUUUAGAUUCCUCACACAAAGUUCCAUGUGAAUGUGUCUCAGAUAUGUGUCAUAAUCUUACAGUUGUUGUCAUGACUACUGGAAUGAUGUUUUGGAUUUGGCUGGACUUUGCUGCAAGCUGGUUUGUUCACCAAAGUCAUUUAGUUAUAUAUGCCGUAUAUUAUCCUUGAAUUCGUUAACAUGUGAUGCUGACAUUGAGCUGCAAUGCUGAUGAAUCAGAAAACUUUGCUCAACUUUUGAAGUAUAUAACUUUGUAUCAGUUUGUAUUUUGAUAUAUUUUUUUAUCGUGCACCAAGUUCCAUCUUCUGCUUGAUGCCUAUGUUGAUAUCUUGAUGUUACUGAAUGUUUAACUGAGUAUAUGGUGUCAGUGUCUUUCUUUCCCGCUUCUAGCUGUGUUCAUCUUAUGGCUGAUCUCAUUGAUUAACCUUCACCCAUGUGGCCAUGUUAUGAUUUUGUGACGGGAAGAUCCUUUACUUUGGUAUCUACAUAUUUGGUUCCCGUUUUAGGUUUUGCUUCAGUAGAUAUGUUGUGGUGUACUGCUUAAUUGGGCUUCAGUUAUCUCUGUCCCAGUUUUGGAGGUCCGUCCUGAAUUUAUCUUUGCAGAAACCACCAAGUUUACCAUGUCUUUAAUAUAGCUCUGGAGUUUGGACUCUGUCUUUCUGCUUCCAGUUCAUAUUAUAUUACUUUUUGUUUGAUUACUGCCAGCGGCGCAUGUUAUUAGUUGAGGGACUAGAAAAGAGGAGCCUUUUGCCUUUAACUUACGGAGGAACUUUUUUUUUUUGUGGUUUUUUCUGGUUGCAGAUGUUGUUCUCCUUGAUAUUUGAGGGAGGCUUGAUGGGAAAUAACAGCCUUAGCUCCUUCUAACGUGCUGUUCUCUUCAUUCGUUAAUAGUUCUCCACGACUUCACUCCUUUUCCACAUGCUUUUGGUUAGUGGUGGAUCCAGCAUGGGUUCAGUUUGUUCACGCGGAUCCGGGUAAAAAACUGUGAGAAACUAAAAAAUAAAGGAAACUAAAUUGAAGGUAUAUAUAUGAAACACGCGUGAUAUCUUAUAAUAUGACACUCAACGUUAAACUUUGGUCUUUUGGGUACUUGUGUUCGCUUAUUCGGGGUCGCAGGUUCGAUCAUUGAAGGAUGUUUUGUUUCAUUGCUUCUUAUGUUUUGUUUGAUUUUUUUUAUUUUUUUUUUCUCUUUCCUCUCUUUUUUGAGGGGAAUUGUCUUCCUUUAUCUUAUGUUUAGUUUCUUUAUAUUUUUUUGGGUUUUUCUACGUAGUGCCCCUAUGUUUUUCGAAAUUCUACGUUGUACCCAGCCUUUUUGAACUCUCCACAUUGUACCCCUAAACUUUCUAAACGGCACACAAAAUACCCUUGCUAAUAGCAAAUCCUACUCCAAACCUCACAUAGUUUUCAAUUUAUCAGAUCAUAUCCCAAACCUCGGUCAACUAACAAGGCUAAAACAUCCUACUCUAUCCCCACAAGGUAAGAAAGUCCCAAAAUCUAUUGUUUGUUAUCGUGUAUAAGGAUAUUGUGGGUAACGUUAUGAAAUCUUAGGGGUACAACGUGGAAAUUUUAAAAACAUCGGGUACAACAUAGAAUUUCAUAAAACACAAGGGUACUAUGUAGAAAAACCCUAUUUUUUUUUAUUUUUUCUUUGUUCACCAUCUACUUUUUAGCUCUCCUUUUUAUCUAUAAAUCUCUCUCUCCCACCCAGUACAAAAAUAAUAGAAGGUAAUGGUUAAUGAAUUUGGUUUGAUUUCCAUUCUCUCCCCAAUUCCCUUGGUUAAGCAAUAAAUUAAUCAUGCAUUUAGUCAAAAAAAAAAAUAACUAUGUUGAUUACUUGAUUUAGUGCUCAUAUGUAUUUAUGAUAUGUGUUAAAAUGUGAAUGAUAAAUGUUCUAUAUUCUUGUAAUUUUUAUAUGUGCAUUUUAUAAACUUAAUGUGCAAAUAUUAAUUGGAAGAAUUUGACACAUCACUUCUAAAACAAAUUAUUGACAAAGCUUAAUAUCACCCAAAAUGCGAAGAGCUUAUUAGUGUUAUUGUGUUGAUUCGUUGUCAAUUAGUCAUUUAAGAUUUCAUAUUUGUGCUAAGUUGUUAAUACAUUUUUUUUUUUUUCAUGUUUCAUAUCAUGGAUGUAUAAUUUUUUUUAAUGUAAUAAAAAAUGGAAUCUCCACUAAGCACAAUUGUUGAAAGCUAACCUUUUCUUUAGGAAUCGAAUCUCUAGAUAGUGAAAUGUAAUUUAGAAUUUAUAUUUCGAACAACUUCGAACCCAUGUGGCUCAGUUCUUUAUCCGCCACUGCUUUUUGUUGAUACACAAUUAUAAACAGCUUGAUUGAUAAGGAAGAUGAUUGGGAAGGAAGUUGUUCAUCCCUUUCUGUUUGUUCCUAUUUCUUUUUGUGUUGCAGCUUGAUUGAUAAGGAAGAGGUUUGGGAAAGGACGUUGUUCAUUCCUUUCUGUUUGUUCCUAUACCUUUUUGUGUUGGUUGCUAAUAUCUCUACCUACAUUUCUUCUUUCCUUGAUAUUUAUAUUUUUCUGUAUUGAAUAUACGACUCGCACUUCAUUUGUGAUUCGUUGUGGACGUUUGAGUUCUUAUUUCAGCAUAUUAGAUGAACAUACUACAGGUGUAUGCUUUCACACUAUUUUCGUAUGCUCUCAGUCUUGGGGGACAUAUGUGGUAUUCUUGUAUUUUGAUCUAUGUUGAGUUUGAAAGGUCCCUAGUUUUUAUAUUUAUUGGUUUACUGGUUAAUUGGUCAUAUCCUGAUGUUAAACUUGUCAGUAGUUUUACUUGGUUGGGCUCUUACCUUGUAUGGCUUCUGGGAAAUAAAUGUUGAUGGUCAACUAGUGAUUUACGCUCAUAUAUUUCUGGCAUAUUUUUGUGAUUCAUUUUAUGAUGAUGCACUCGAUUAGUUAUUUAAUUAGUUAUUCCUUGAGUCUUUUCUAUGGCGCGGACUGAUUGCCUUGUAAUUCUAUCCGCUGCAUUAAUUUUGCAGCUUCAUGAUCAUUUUGUCGAUUUUUCUUCUGUUCUACGCGAUUCUGCAUUGUAGCCUUGGAAGUUCUUGAUUAAGGUUGUAGCUGUUUUGUUUUCAUGGGGAAUCAUUGGAGCACAAUACGACUCUUGAAUGGUAACAAAUCAUUAUUUCCAAUGUUUGCUGGGAUGACAUGUUACUAUUCAAUUCUCAUAUCGUGUCAGUUCUUUUUCUCCAAGGGUUUGUGUUGCAUUAGUAACUUCAUCUGUUGACAAAGCUGUUUUCUGUUUCUUUUAUUUGAUUUUUUUUUUGUUCUUGUUUUUGUGUUAAUUAGUUCUUGUUGUAAAGCAUUUGGUUGCUGCUGAAUUCGUUGGCUCGGGGAUAUAUUGUUGGUAAGAGGUGUCUGCAAGUGUAGAGAGAGUUGUUUGUCCUGUUAGCCUCCAUUUUCUUGGUAUACUCCAUACAUAUGCUCCGUUAGAUUAUUUUUUUUCUUGUUGCAGAUUGUUUCUGCUAUGAUGGUGUUCAUUUGUCAAUGAGGCUUCAGUUCUGGUACUUUUGCAUAGUCUUUCAGUCGUCUUAAGGUAUUUAAUGUUUUGGACUCACGGUAGUGCUCAUGUCUGGUCUUUGGUUCUAAACAGUUUAUGAGCACUUUAGCAAUUGAUUCCUAUUGCUGAAGAACUGGUUGUGGUACUGUGUGCCCUACCUUUGUAAGAGCUGGAUAUUUUCUUGUUGCAGAUUGUUUAUGCUUUUUUUUAUUGCUGAAGAAGUGGUUGUGGUACUGUGUGCCCUACCUUUGUAAGAGCUGGAUAUUUUCUUGUUGCAGAUUGUUAUGAUGGUGUUCAUUUGUCAAUGAGGCUUCAGUUCUGGUACUUGUGCAUAGUCUUUCAGUCGUCUUAAGGUAUUUAAUUUUUCGAAUUCGUGAUAGUGCUCAUGUAUGGUCUUGGUUCUAAACAGUUUAUGAGCACUUUGGCAAUUGAUUCCUAUUGCUGAAGAAGUAGUUGUGGUGCCUUGUGUCCUACCUCUGUAAGAGCUGGAUAUUCUGGUUAGCAAUCAGAAAAUUUGUUUUCCCUUAUGCUGCAAUUUUUGUUUCGGGAUUCGUGGUAGCGCUCAUGUCUGGUCUUGGUUCUGAAUAGUUGAUGAGCACUUUGGCAGUUGAUUUCUAUUGCUGAAGAAGUGGUUGUGGUGCCUUUUAUCCUACCUUUGCAAGAGCUGGUUAGCAAUCAGAAAAUUUCUUUUCCCUUAUACUGCAGCUUUUUAAUAAUCUAGUACCACUGGCCUCGCUCUCUUUAAACUUCCUGUAGUAUGCGAUCUGUCAUCCUAUUGUCUCUGAUGUAGUGGUAUAGACAGAUAAUUCUUUUCCUUCUUUUACCUUACCAUUUCUGUAAUAUAUGUAAAGGUAUAUGCUUUAAACUCUGUUUACUUCUACCAUUGUUUUUUAAGGAUCAUGUUACACUAAAAUAGAAUACGAUGUAAGUGCACCUCAGAUCUCUCUUGAUGUUAUGUUCUCUGUUUAUUUCCCUUCUUCAGACUAGGUUUUCUGUGAUGGGGUUUUUUCUAGUAGUAGAAAUGAUCAAGUGACAAGAAGAUUGAGAUUUUUGUAUUGUUUCUGCUGUAGUUCUUCAAGAGAUACAGGCUUUAGGGAAAUCAUAUGGAUAUUGGUCGGUUGGGUCAAAGUUACGGCCUUUCAGGCUCGACUUCCUGUUUUCACAGCGUCAAUGUCUAUUAUGCUAUUCUCGUCUUGCUGGAUUGAUUUCUCAUGUUUGUCUUGUGGUUGUUAGUUGCCCUUGCUGGGCGCCCUCUUUGAAAGAUUUGAGUUUCUCGUUCUGUUUCAGUUUCUCAUAUAUUAUGGUUAAUGAUGGUCUUGAUGCUUUCACGACUUUAAACUAGCUGAACUUGAACUAUGUCCAAGUUGCGAUAGAAUGUACUUUUACUGGUACUUUUACUGUAUAUACUGGGUAGUUGUGGGGAUUCGUGGUAUGAGUUUAGAAUCCUAUGUUUCUUAAGCUUUGCUAUUUCAAACGCGAAUCCUCUUGGAUUGGUGAAAUUAGUUUCUUAUUUUCUUUCUAACCGAUGUACAUGCUUCCAGCAUUGUAGUGAGACCAGUUUGCUUUGGGAUGAGCCGGUAUGUAUGAUUGAAUUUCUUGUUGAGUGUGACUAUGUAGUACACUGUACACGAUUUGGACUGUACCUGUGAGGCUUAAUUGGAUAAGCCAAGUCUUUUGGAUCUUGUAGUUUUACUUUUUCCCUAUUUAAAGACCGGAAUGUAUGUAUCGCAGAUUUGUUCUCUUAAAUUGAAGUUUGCUGUCUUAAGUUGCUAUCUAAAAUGUGGUGGUUGGGUCAUGCCUCAGGUUUGUGAUGAUUUUAUACUUGGUCUGCUCGUGGGGAUGUAGUUUUAUGUGAAUCGAAUCAGGUUCAUGUUCUAACCUUUGUUUGUGGGUCAAUACUCAAUACUAUCUCCACUGGUGUUUUGGUUUUCUUUUGACUCCGAGUAGUCUUCACUGUUAGUUAUUCAUUUUCAGUUUUAUGUUGUGUGUUUGUCAUAUUAAAUCCUCGGAUUCAUCGACAUGAGAGUGGUUACUGGUGUUAUUUUGUUUCUGCUUCUGAUUCUCGGGUAUAUAACUAUUUUAGUGUUUGAAUAUCUCAUGCAUAUUCCAAGUUUUUCCUGCUUUAGGGGUGUGUGUUGAUUUUAACGUUACUAGUUGUCUCAUCUAUCAUGCAUAUUCCAAGUUUUCCUGCUUUAGGGGUGUUGAUUUUAACGUGACUGGAUGUUUACUGGUGUUUUGGUGCUGCCAUCUCUCUUUCGACUCCAGGUAUUGUGCUUAUCUUAUGGUUGAGGUCAUUGGUCAGCUUCUCACCUGCUGUGAUUUUGCGAUGUAAAUAUUUUUUUUUCUUCUUUACAGAUAUAUAUUUCACCUUUUCAGUUUUACUUAAGCAGGUUCCUUCUUGAAAAAACAAAUUUGAAUGUGAUGCUAUGAUUACAAACUGAGCUUUUGCUUGUCCAUUUUUAGCUCUUGGUUUUGUCCUGAAUUGGUGUGUGUAGGCACAUGCCCGUGUUAUGGGGUUGGACUUUUCCUACUUCCAAAAUUCCGAACCCAAUCGUUUCUGGAUCGGGAGGUUUUUCUGAUUCAGAAAUAUGUAGUUUCACUGCAUAAACCCUUGCUGCUGCAUAUUACACGUUGUUUAGUUUAAUCACAGGAAAGUUGGAUUUUGGUGGUUCUUGGUUGUAGGCUCCUUGAUGUUUGAGGAAGAUGUUGGAUGAAGAACUGUAGCUGAAUUUUAAUGCACUAUUUUUGUCAGUUGUUGGUAGUCUUUUGGUUGUAGAACGUGUGUGUAUUAUGGUCUUCUGCUGAUUUGAGAAGAAGAGUUUCUCGUUUUUUUUUUGUGCGUGCUCUUUUGCCGUCUGUUUGAUUGACUUGCUAAUGUAAGUACUUGCAUAUUCUUUUUCAUGUGUUAUUUAAGGAUGCCUGAGCUCUUAUAUUAGAUAUACUUGUUUCUGGUGUGUGUGCUUUCAUCCUACACUUCCAAAUCUGGGUCAUUUCUGUUCUUUCAUUUGUGUUUUUCAUUCAUCUGGUUGCUUUCUUUUCUAUGGCUCUGGAAUGCUUUUAUGGGAAGGUUCGGUGGAAUAAAAAUCAUAGGUGAAUUUAGGUCAUGGUUAUUGGCUCGACUUUCUUUGUGUUUACAAUGGCUUAUAUAUACUACGUUAUUACUUAUGUUGCUAGAAGAAAUGUAUGUGUAGUCUGUCUCUUGGUUGCUAGUUGUGGUCACUUAAGGGACAAGCCCUGCUGUGCUCUAUCUCAACUUCUUUUAAGACUAUGUUAGCUGUUUAUCUGCAUCGUCAUGGGUGGUGCUGUUAUGAUUUGGAGUAUAUGAACAAGCUGUAAUUAACUAUGUUCUUACAGUAUAUACUGUGUACUUUGGGAAAUUGUGGUGUGAGGUUCGAAGUCCUAUGUUCUGGAUAUCUGUUGGCUACUUUGUACAUGAAGAUCCAUUUAGGAUGGUGUUUUUUAUAGUUUUUCAUUUGUUCUUCCAAAUUUCGCCUGGCUACAUGAUCACAAAAAUGAUCCAUUUGCAUAUGUUGCUUCAUGGGAGUGAUUUGGAGCUGUUAUAAUCAUUUAAUUUUGAUUUUUAUAGAUUUACUCCUCACCUGAGAAAGAUCAGCAAAUGUUUGUUUUGACCAAAGGUUCCUCAGAUUUGAUGUUUGUUCCCUUAACUCCAGUUUACUAUCUAUCAUGCGGUGUUUGGUUCAGGCCUAGGCUAAUUAUCCUCUAGACACUUCUUAGAAUACUUUUGGCAUAUCUGAGGCUUGAUUCUUUUGGUAUCUGUAAAUUAUCAUUCUAUCUGUGGUGCUUCGGGCUCUAUACUUUCCUCCAAGGCCUACCAACUCAAGUAGAACUUAAAUGCAGCUAUAAUUUCCUGUGCUCUGCUUUGAUGGCUUAAGCUGACUCUGCGCAAAGUAUAUCAAUCUUGGACUCACUUUGUUAUCGAAUCAGGAUGUUGAUUGUAUAAGCUUCAUACAUUUCAUUGUAAGUUUUAUGGUUACACAUUCUGCAUUGAGGCUAUUUUUUUCUGAAUUUUCAGUGGAAAUUCUAGAUAUGCUCUUGGUGGAUUCUGAUUUCUGAUCACAAUAGUUUAUCUAUUGGCUUUUGGCUUCUCAUGCAUGAAUGCAUGAUAUAUUCUUUUGUUUGUGUUUUUUUAUUGGCUAAUCCAGCUGAUAGCUUCUGAUUGCCACGAAUGUUUGUCAGGAUUUAGGAAUAUGGAGGUUUCCUAUUGACUAAAAGGAACGUUAUAUUAUACCUGGCUUCAAAAAUUACGGUUUUCUCUCAUGUCAUCAUUUCAUGGUCUAUUUGCCGUUUCAGAUGUCAUGUUACUCAUGUCAUCAUUCAUGGUCUAUUUGCAAUAUUUGAUGUCAUUGUUGGUCAUAGGUUGUGAGGGGGGAUUACGGACUCGUAUGGGUGCCUUCAUCAUUUCUUGCCUUCAUAUAUAUAAAUAUUUUUCUGUAUUAAAUAUACAAGUCUGGUUUCCUUUGUGAUUCUGGUUAUGGACUUCUGGAUUCUUAUUUCAGAAUAUUAGGUGAACAUGCUUCAGGUUUUGGUCACGCCUGAGUAUUCACGUGUAAGGUUUUUCCUAUUAUCCUAUGCGUUCAGGUUCUAGUCACGCCUGAGUGGUAAUUUUGUAUGUUGAUCUAUGUUUUUUUUUGGCAUUUAUUUUUACUUAUAUAUAUAUAAUAUGUUUUAAAACUUACUAUACACAAAAGCUUAAACUAUUCUUUUUUUUGUUUCCGCAAAUGGUUUACGACAUAGGUCCUAAGGAUUAUCUGAUGAAACACCAGUGGGGGAGGAUUGGGAUGUCUGGGCCUAUAAGAUGAAGGUUGCAAUGGAUAUAGAAUCAUGCAGGGAGAGUAGGGGUUAAAGUCUGAGUCGUCAAGAAUACAUUUUAUGUAAUAAAGCCUUAUCGCUUUGUACAUCCUAGGUAUGUAGAUCUGUGGUCAGAAGAGGAGUAUUUUAACAGAGAGAAGCAUAUUUAUUGGAACCAGUAUUUUCCUACCGAAAAAGAUUUCUUGGCUGACCUCAAAUACUGCGAGAAUGAGUGGAAGAUCCGCGAAACAAGAGGUUUAAAUCUUUGUACUUCAUCAUCAUCAGGCCGAAGAACUUACCAUGUGGGGGAAAGCUCGGGAGCUAGGCUGUAGAUGGAAGUUCUAAGAAUCCAAGGGUCAAACCUGAACCACAAACAUCACCUAGAGUUGCAAAGAGGCCAAAAUACCAAACGUUUGAGGACGAGCGAGUACUUGAGACCUUUCAAAACCUUAGAACCAUCACUUACAUUUCUGAUGAUAAGAGGAACAAUAGGACUUUUACUGGAGUAGUUGAUUGGGAUCAGACUACAUCGAUAUUAGAUGGGGAAAUGAGGAAUAUGGGGACCAUAAUAGAAAUGAGUCUAUUGAGGAAGAAGAACCUAUUGAGGCAGAUAACAUGGAAGAGGUAGAGGAGCUUAUAAGAGGAGCAUAUCGAGGAAGAGGAACCCAUGAAAGAGGAAGAAUCCUGGAAGAAGAGGAACCCAUGAAAGAUGAAGAAUUCCUGAAAGAAGAGAAACCCAUUGAGGAUGAAGCUGACAUGGAAAAAGGAAUAGAGGAUCCUGAGUCAGAUGAUGAAGUUUUUCACCAUAGUCCAUAGUUUUCUCUGGUCACAUAUUUAGAAUCAGAAUAUCGUUUUAUUUUUGUCAUAUUCAUUUGUUUAUUUAUUUCAGUGUUAAUAAGGCUUGCAUGCCGAACAAGGCUUUCAGUAUUUAUUUAUGUUCGACAUGCAAGCCUUAGUAACACUGAAAUAAAUAAGAAUAUGACAAAAUAAAACGAUAUUCUAAUCCUAAAUAUGUGACCAGAGGAAACUAUGGACUAUGGCGGAGAGCUUCAUCAUCUGACUUAGGAUUCUCUAUUUCUUCUUCCAUAUCAGCUUCAUCCUCCUUAGGCUCGUCGUCUUCAAUGGGUUUCUUUUUUUCCAGGGGUUUUUCCUCUUUCAUGGGUUCCUCUUCCUCAAUAGGUUCCUUUUCCACAAUAGGCUCCUCUGCCUCUUCUAUGGGAUCUGCCUUAAUAGGUUCUUCUUCCUCAAUAGGCUCAUUCCAUUAGGGUCUUCAUCUUCCUCAUUUUCCCAAUCUAAUACCGAUGUAGUCUGAUCUCCGUCAACUACUGCGGUAGAAGUCCCAUUGUUCCUCUUAUCAUUAGAAAUGUAGGUGAUGGUGUUAAGGUUUUGGAAGGUCUCAUGUACUAGCUCAUCCUCAAACGCUUGGUGUUUUGGCCUCUUUGCAACUCUAGAUGGCGUUUGUGGUUCAGUUUUGACCCGUGGGUUCUUAGAACUUCCAUCUACAGCUCAAGCUCCCUAGCUUUCUCCACAUGGUAGGUUCUUCGGGAUGAUGGUGAUGAAGUAGAAGGGUUUAAACCUCUUGUUUCGCGAAUCUUCCACUCAUUCUCGCAGUAUUUGAGGUCAGCUAAGAAAUGUUUUUCAGUAGGAAGGUACUGGUUCCAAUAAGUAUGCUUUUCUCUUUUAAAAUACCUCUCUUCGGACCACAGUUCUACUUACCUACGAUGUACCAAGCGAUAAGGCUCUAUGUCUGGGACAAUCGAAACAUAAAAUGUAUUCUUGACAGCUCAGAUUUUAACCCCUGCUCUCCCUUCAUGAUUCUAUAAUCCAUUGCAACCCUCAUCUUAUAGGCCCAGACAUCCGAAUCCUCCCCCACUUGGUGUUUCAUCAAAUCUUUAGUACCUAUGUCGUAAACCAUCUUUGAAAUAAAAAUAAGAAUAGAAUAGUCUAAGCUUUGUGUAUAAUAGGUUUUAAAACAUACGGUUAUUUCACCAAAUACCUCCGACAAAUCAAAAAAUUCACCAUAUACCCUCAAUGUUUCAGAUAUUCACCAUAUACCCCUAACUUUUCAAAACUGUGCACCAUAUACCCAUUUUCUAACGGACGUUAAGUCGUCGUUAGUUUUAUUUACGAUUUUGCCAUUAUUAACCCUAAUUCUAAUCUAAUCUUAAUCCUAACCCUUACCCUUACCCCAAACCCUAACCCA